AAAUGAUUCAGUUUAAAAAUUGCUAUUUUUGAAGGGCUACUUUCAGCUGGGAUCCAGUCUCCAGCCUGUUCCCAGAAGCACUUGCCUUGCUGCAGCACAGCGUGGUGAAAAGUGGAGGAGGAAUGUCUGUCUGGGAGCCGGCAGCCCGAAAUCUCGUGAUGCUGCUGGGGAAACAAUUCAUGGGGAUGGGGCCUCCUUACAUUCACAUCCCUUUCUGCAUUUGGCAGCUUUUAUAAUCAGUAUUUUCUUGAUGAGCAGACAACUCAGAAGAAUUAGAAGAUUAAUUUCUACUAGGAAGAAACUUGAGUCUUUGUCAACUGCCCCUUCAUUUGCUGCUCUAGGAGAUUGAUACAUGGAAAAGAGAUUUAUUGUUUACUGACUGGUAACACGAAACUACAUCCACAUACUCGUGGCUCCUAUCUGGUACUUAUGCACAAACUUGUCUUCUAUGCAGCAGCAAAGCUUUGCUAGAAGCUGCACUCUCCUCUUCCACUGCCUCUGUAAUUGUCAAAUCCUCUGAAAUAAAGC
rnacentral:lncRNA from 12 species